rnacentral:rRNA from 1 species
UACAGAGGGUGCGAGCGUUAAUCGGAAUUACUGGGCGUAAAGCGUGCGUAGACGGUUAUUUAAGUCGGGUGUGAAAGCCCCGGGCUCAACCUGGGAAUUGCAUUCGAGACUGAAUAGCUAGGGUACGGUAGAGGGAAGCGGAAUUUCCGGUGUAGCGGUGAAAUGCGUAGAUAUCGGAAGGAACAUCAGUGGCGAAAGCGGCUUCCUGGACCAGAACCGACGUUCAGGCACGAAAGCGUGGGGAGCAAACAGG